rnacentral:tRNA from 1 species
GGCUGGGGGGUCAGUGGCUGAGCAUCUGCUUUGCAUGCAGAAGGACCCAGGUUCGAUUCCUGGCACCUCUAGUCA